GGCUUAAUGAAAUUAAUUUUAAGUCGAUCUGCCCAAUGAUUAAAUUAUUUAAUGGCUGCAGUAUAAUUGACUGUACAAAGGUAGCAUAAUCAAUUGUUUUUUAAUUAGAAACUGGAAUGAAAGAAUUAAUGAGAUAUAUACUGUCUCAUAUAUAUAUUAUUAAUUUAAAUUUUUAGUAAAAAUGCUAAAAUAGAUUUAUGGGACGAUAAGACCCUAUAGAAUUUUAUAUUUAUAUUUAGAUUAUUAUUUAUUUUAAAUAUUAAUAUUUAAUUGGGAGGAUUAUUAAAUUUGUAAAACUUUAUUUUAAAUUUAAACUUUAAUUUAAGAAUUAUUGAUGAUCUUGUAUUAUGAAUUAAAAGAAUAAAUUACCUUAGGGAUAACAGCGUAAUAUCUUUUUAAAGAUCAAAUUGAUAAAGAUGAUUGCGACCUCGAUGUUGAAUUAAGAUAAAUUUUAAAUGAAGAAGUUUAAUAAUUAAGUCUGUUCGACUUUUAAAAUCUU
rnacentral:rRNA from 1 species